rnacentral:rRNA from 1 species
CCCCCCCCUUCCAACGCCACUGCCUUCCAGCGCGAGCUUGACGCCCACCUCGUUCUGUGGAUCUACUCCACCCUUGCGGACAACCUCGUCGACCACGUCGUCGGCGCUACCACCACCUACGAUCUCUGGCAUUGCAUCCGCGACUACUUCCUGGCCAACCGCGCGGCUCCGUACAUGAUACUGAACCGCCAAUACCGCAACCUCAAACAAGGUGAUCUUUCCGUUGCCGAAUAUGCUCGCCGCAUGAAACUUCUCACUGCUGGCCUCGCCGACAUCGACCACGCCAUCACCGAGGUGGAUCUCACCACCCAAUUCCUCCACGGCAUCGACCAAAGGCUCGACACCCUCCGCGUCGUCCUGGGGGACUCCGUUCCUCUCCCACCGUUCAAAACGGUCUUCUCGCGC